UAGCUUUAAGAAAAUUAUUUAAAGUUUUACCUGCCCAGUGGUAUUCUUAACGGCCGCAGUACUUUGACUGUGCUAAGGUAGCAUAAUAAAUUGGCUUUUAAUUAAAGUCGAGUAUGAAAGGGGUUUCGGAAAGUGACUGUCUCAAGUAUAUAUAAUUUUAAUUUAUUUAAUGGGUGAAAAUCCCCAUAGGAUUUUUCAUUAGACGAGAAGACCCUAAGAGUUAUAAUUAAAAUGAAUUUAUUUCAUAUAUCAUUUUUGUUGGGGCAACAUUGACUGGAUAAAACCGUCAUUUAAAUAUUUUACGUAACCAAUUUAGUAAAAAAGAAAUAAACUACCUUAGGGAUAACAGCAUAAUUAAUUUUUUAGAUUGUGACCUCGAUGUUGGAUUAGGGACUUAAUUUACUAGCCGUAAAUUAAGAUAGUUCUGUUCGAACUGUAAUACCUU
rnacentral:rRNA from 1 species